rnacentral:lncRNA from 1 species
AAUUUUAACCCAUUACUUUUUUUUUCACAGGACAAAAAAGGCCAUGUGGCAAGAAAUUGCUUGUAUGAUCAAUACAGAGUUCUCAGUUGUGAUGACUGAGCUGCAGGUGCAGAAUAAAUGAAAGAGCCUUGAACGCUCAUAUAAGAAGACAAAAACAAAAAACAAUUCAUCCGGGCACUCGACGGCUUUGUGUGAAUAUGAAGAAGAGCUAAGUGACGUUCUUGAAAAAGAACACAUCACACCUACAGUGCUGAUGAAGCCUGGAGCAACAAUUGAGAAAGACAGCAGCAUGUCUCCCGGCGCUGAUGACGGCACUGACAUGGAGCCAGAAUUGUCAAUGGGCAAACCCCUGCCAAGGCCUGCAUCAGCUGCAGUUGUGAAUGCACACCCUAAGGAUGCCUUGCGAAGAAAAAAGGACAGCACAUCGUUGAAUGCCCUUUUAAGAGAAUUUAAGGAGGCAAAGGAAGAGCGGGCCGAACGCUUUGAUAGGAAAAUGGCUUUGUUAGAGCGGCUGGUUACAGCUGUUGAGAAAGUUGCCACAACGGCUCCUGAAUAAAAAUUUUCAAAAAAAGAAAACGUGUGUG